UGCAGUCGAGCGCCCCGCAGGGGGAGCGGCAGACGGGUGAGUAACGCGUGGGAAUCUACCCAUCACUACGGAACAACUCCGGGAAACUGGAGCUAAUACCGUAUACGUCCUUCGGGAGAAAGAUUUAUCGGUGAUGGACGAGCCCGCGUUGGAUUAGCUAGUUGGUGGGGUAAUGGCCUACCAAGGCGACGAUCCAUAGCUGGUCUGAGAGGAUGAUCAGCCACACUGGGACUGAGACACGGCCCAGACUCCUACGGGAGGCAGCAGUGGGGAAUAUUGGACAAUGGGCGCAAGCCUGAUCCAGCCAUGCCGCGUGAGUGAUGAAGGCCCUAGGGUUGUAAAGCUCUUUCAACGGUGAAGAUAAUGACGGUAACCGUAAAAAAAGCCCCGGCUAAUUUCGUGCCAGCUGAGCUUGGC
rnacentral:rRNA from 1 species